GAGCCUGAAUCAGUGUGUGUGUUAGUGGAAGCGUCUGGAAAGGCGCGCGAUACAGGGUGACAGCCCCGUACACAAAAAUGCACAUGCUGUGAGCUCGAUGAGUAGGGCGGGACACGUGGUAUCCUGUCUGAAUAUGGGGGGACCAUCCUCCAAGGCUAAAUACUCCUGACUGACCGAUAGUGAACCAGUACCGUGAGGGAAAGGCGAAAAGAACCCCGGCGAGGGGAGUGAAAAAGAACCUGAAACCGUGUACGUACAAGCAGUGGGAGCACGCUUAGGCGUGUGACUGCGUACCUUUUGUAUAAUGGGUCAGCGACUUAUAUUCUGUAGCAAGGUUAACCGAAUAGGGGAGCCGAAGGGAAACCGAGUCUUAACUGGGCGUUAAGUUGCAGGGUAUAGACCCGAAACCCGGUGAUCUAGCCAUGGGCAGGUUGAAGGUUGGGUAACACUAACUGGAGGACCGAACCGACUAAUGUUGAAAAAUUAGCGGAUGACUUGUGGCUGGGGGUGAAAGGCCAAUCAAACCGGGAGAUAGCUGGUUCUCCCCGAAAGCUAUUUAGGUAGCGCCUCGUGAAUUCAUCUCCGGGGGUAGAGCACUGUUUCGGCAAGGGGGUCAUCCCGACUUACCAACCCGAUGCAAACUGCGAAUACCGGAGAAUGUUAUCACGGGAGACACACGGCGGGUGCUAACGUCCGUCGUGAAGAGGGAAACAACCCAGACCGCCAGCUAAGGUCCCAAAGUCAUGGUUAAGUGGGAAACGAUGUGGGAAGGCCCAGACAGCCAGGAUGUUGGCUUAGAAGCAGCCAUCAUUUAAAGAAAGCGUAAUAGCUCACUGGUCGAGUCGGCCUGCGCGGAAGAUGUAACGGGGCUAAACCAUGCACCGAAGCUGCGGCAGCGACGCUGAUGCGUUGUUGGGUAGGGGAGCGUUCUGUAAGCCUGUGAAGGUGUGCUGUGAGGCAUGCUGGAGGUAUCAGAAGUGCGAAUGCUGACAUAAGUAACGAUAAAGCGGGUGAAAAGCCCGCUCGCCGGAAGACCAAGGGUUCCUGUCCAACGUUAAUCGGGGCAGGGUGAGUCGACCCCUAAGGCGAGGCCGAAAGGCGUAGUCGAUGGGAAACAGGUUAAUAUUCCUGUACUUGGUGUUACUGCGAAGGGGGGACGGAGAAGGCUAUGUUGGCCGGGCGACGGUUGUCCCGGUUUAAGCGUGUAGGCUGGUUUUCCAGGCAAAUCCGGAAAACUAAGGCUGAGGCGUGAUGACGAGGCACUACGGUGCUGAAGCAACAAAUGCCCUGCUUCCAGGAAAAGCCUCUAAGCAUCAGGUAACAUCAAAUCGUACCCCAAACCGACACAGGUGGUCAGGUAGAGAAUACCAAGGCGCUUGAGAGAACUCGGGUGAAGGAACUAGGCAAAAUGGUGCCGUAACUUCGGGAGAAGGCACGCUGAUAUGUAGGUGAAGUCCCUCGCGGAUGGAGCUGAAAUCAGUCGAAGAUACCAGCUGGCUGCAACUGUUUAUUAAAAACACAGCACUGUGCAAACACGAAAGUGGACGUAUACGGUGUGACGCCUGCCCGGUGCCGGAAGGUUAAUUGAUGGGGUCAGCGCAAGCGAAGCUCUUGAUCGAAGCCCCGGUAAACGGCGGCCGUAACUAUAACGGUCCUAAGGUAGCGAAAUUCCUUGUCGGGUAAGUUCCGACCUGCACGAAUGGCGUAAUGAUGGCCAGGCUGUCUCCACCCGAGACUCAGUGAAAUUGAACUCGCUGUGAAGAUGCAGUGUACCCGCGGCAAGACGGAAAGACCCCGUGAACCUUUACUAUAGCUUGACACUGAACAUUGAGCCUUGAUG
rnacentral:rRNA from 1 species